rnacentral:rRNA from 1 species
CCUACGGGAGACAGCAGUGAGGAAUAUUGGUCAAUGGACGAGAGUCUGAACCAGCCAAGUAGCGUGAAGGAUGACUGCCCUAUGGGUUGUAAACCUCUUUUAUAUGGGAAUAAAAUGUUCCACGUGUGGGAUUUUGUAUGUACCAUAUGAAUAAGGAUCGGCUAACUCCGUGCCAGCAGCCGCGGUAAUACGGAGAAUCCGAGCGUUAUCCGGAUUUCUUGGGUUUAAAGGGAGCGUAGGUGGAUUGUUAAGUCAGUUGUGAAAGUUUGCGGCUCAACCGUAAAAUUGCAGUUGAAACUGGCAGACUUGUGUACAGUAGCGGUGGGCGGAAUUCGUUGUGUAGCGGUGAAAGGCUUAGAGAGCACGAAGAACUCAGAUUGCGAAGGCAGUUCACUGGACUGCAACUGACACUGAGGCUCGAAAGUGUGGGUAUCAAACAGGAUUAGAUACCCGAGUAGUC